CUAGUACUCCCUCUGUCCGAAAAUACUUGUCGAAAAAAUGGAUGUAUCUAGACGUAUUUUAGUUCUACAUCCAUUUUUAUCCGUUUAUGCGACAAGUAAUUCGGGACGGAGGGAGUAGUAC
rnacentral:pre_miRNA from 1 species